GACGUAGGGCGCGAGCGUUGUCCGGAUUUAUUGGGCGUAAAGAGCUCGUAGGCGGCUUGUUGCGUCGACCGUGAAAACCCGCGGCUUAACUGCGGGCUUGCGGUUGAUACGGGCGGGCUAGAGUUCGGUAGGGGAGACUGGAAUUCCUGGUGUAGCGGUGAAAUGCGCAGAUAUCAGGAGGAACACCGGUGGCGAAGGCGGGUCUCUGGGCCGAUACUGACGCUGAGGAGUGAAAGCGUGGGGAGCGAACAGG
rnacentral:rRNA from 1 species